rnacentral:rRNA from 1 species
GAGAGUUUGAUCCUGGCUCAGAACGAACUCUGGCGGCAGGCUUAACACAUGCAAGUCGAGCGCCCCGCAAGGGGAGCGGCAGACGGGUGAGUAACGCGUGGGAAUCUACCUUUUGCUACGGAAUAACGCAGGGAAACUUGUGCUAAUACCGUAUGUGUCCUUUGGGAGAAAGAUUUAUCGGCAAGAGAUGAGCCCGCGUUGGAUUAGCUAGUUGGUGGGGUAAAGGCCUACCAAGGCGACGAUCCAUAGCUGGUCUGAGAGGAUGAUCAGCCACAUUGGGACUGAGACACGGCCCAAACUCCUACGGGAGGCAGCAGUGGGGAAUAUUGGACAAUGGGCGCAAGCCUGAUCCAGCCAUGCCGCGUGAGUGAUGAAGGCCCUAGGGUUGUAAAGCUCUUUCACCGGAGAAGAUAAUGACGGUAUCCGGAGAAGAAGCCCCGGCUAACUUCGUGCCAGCAGCCGCGGUAAUACGAAGGGGGCUAGCGUUGUUCGGAAUUACUGGGCGUAAAGCGCACGUAGGCGGAUCGAUCAGUCAGGGGUGAAAUCCCAGGGCUCAACCCUGGAACUGCCUUUGAUACUGUCGAUCUGGAGUAUGGAAGAGGUGAGUGGAAUUCCGAGUGUAGAGGUGAAAUUCGUAGAUAUUCGGAGGAACACCAGUGGCGAAAGCGGCUCACUGGUCCAUUACUGACGCUGAGGUGCGAAAGCGUGGGGAGCCAACAGGAUUAGAUACCCUGGUAGUCCACCCCGUAACGAUGAAUGUUAGCCGUCGGGC